UACGUAGGGUGCGAGCGUUAAUCGGAAUUACUGGGCGUAAAGGGCGCGUAGGCGGCCUUCUAAGUCGAACGUGAAAUCCCUGGGCUCAACCCAGGAACUGCGUCCGAUACUGGAAGGCUUGAAUCCGGGAGAGGGAUGCGGAAUUCCAGGUGUAGCGGUGAAAUGCGUAGAUAUCUGGAGGAACACCGGUGGCGAAGGCGGCAUCCUGGACCGGUAUUGACACUGAGGCGCGAAAGCCAGGGGAGCAAACGGG
rnacentral:rRNA from 1 species